rnacentral:rRNA from 1 species
UGGGGAAUCUUGGACAAUGGGCGCAAGCCUGAUCCAGCCAUGCCGCGUGAGUGAAGAAGGCCUUCGGGUUGUAAAGCUCUUUUACCAGGGACGAUAAUGACGGUACCUGGAGAAUAAGCCCCGGCAAACUUCGUGCCAGCAGCCGCGGUAAUACGAAGGGGGCUAGCGUUGUUCGGAAUUACUGGGCGUAAAGCGCACGUAGGCGGAUUGUUAAGUCAGAGGUGAAAUCCCGGAGCUCAACUUCGGAACUGCCUUUGAUACUGGCAAUCUAGAGUCCGGAAGAGGUUAGUGGAAUUCCCAGUGUAGAGGUGAAAUUCGUAGAUAUUGGGAAGAACACCAGUGGCGAAGGCGGCUAACUGGUCCGGUACUGACGCUGAAGUGCGAAAGCGUGGGGAGCAAACAGGAUUAGAUACCCCAGUAGUCCCUGAGCGGGCUGGCAAGGCGCAU